rnacentral:lncRNA from 1 species
CUGCAGGCCAAAGUGAAGUCCUACAAGAGGCAGGCAGAAGAGGCUGAGGAGCAAGCCAACACACAGCUAUCCAGGUGCCGGAGGGUCCAGCAUGAACUAGAGGAGGCUGAGGAGAGGGCAGAUAUCGCUGAGUCUCAAGUCAACAAGCUAAGGGCCAAGAGCCGUGAUGUGGGAGGCCAGAUGGAAGAAUGAGGCUCUCCCGAGGCUCGUUGCCAUGGGCCACCUCCAGGAGAGCAGAGGGAGACUGGGAAAAAUAAACCCUCCUGCAUACUC